rnacentral:rRNA from 1 species
AUGAACGCUGGCGGCGUGCCUCAUACAUGCAAGUCGAGCGAACAGACGAGGAGCUUGCUCCUCUGACGUUAGCGGCGGACGGGUGAGUAACACGUGGAUAACCUACCUAUAAGACUGGGAUAACUUCGGGAAACCGGAGCUAAUACCGGAUAAUAUAUUGAACCGCAUGGUUCAAUAGUGAAAGACGGUUUUGCUGUCACUUAUAGAUGGAUCCGCGCCGCAUUAGCUAGUUGGUAAGGUAACGGCUUACCAAGGCAACGAUGCGUAGCCGACCUGAGAGGGUGAUCGGCCACACCGGAACUGAGACACGGUCCAGACUCCUACGGGAGGCAGCAGUAGGGAAUCUUCCGCAAUGGGCGAAAGCCUGACGGAGCAACGCCGCGUGAGUGAUGAAGGUCUUCGGAUCGUAAAACUCUGUUAUUAGGGAAGAACAAAUGUGUAAGUAACUAUGCACGUCUUGACGGUACCUAAUCAGAAAGCCACGGCUAACUACGUG